UACGGAGGAUGCGAGCGUUAUCCGGAUUUAUUGGGUUUAAAGGGUGCGUAGGCGGGAUGCCAAGUCAGCGGUAAAAAUGCGGUGCUCAACGCCGUCGAGCCGUUGAAACUGUCGGACUAGAGACGGCGAGAAGUACGCGGAAUGCGCGGUGUAGCGGUGAAAUGCAUAGAUAUCGCGCAGAACUCCGAUUGCGAAGGCAGCGUACCGGCGCCGGACUGACGCUGAGGCACGAAAGCGUGGGUAUCGAACAGG
rnacentral:rRNA from 1 species